CUGAAAUACUGUGAAUAAUGUUAUAAAAAGUUCUUGAACUUUUGUAACAUUGCAUCUGACAAUAUUUUAUAGGAUCGAAGUCUAAGACUAGAAGUAAAGAGGAAAUUCCUUUCACUUUAGUUUGAAGAAACAGAUGAGACUCUGGACAAAGACUGCAAGCAAAGGAAGAACCAGUCACUUCACACAGAGCAUGGGAGUUUUGGCAUCACCAGUUAUCCUUUAGGCAUGGAAGAGCUUUCCAUCAUUACUCCAAUGUCUAACUACCACUGUCGCUUCAAAAAAGCCUCUCAAGUUCCAGUGAAGAAGCAAGUAACAGCAUGGGUAUUUUAGCUCACAUAUAAAAUGAAACAAACCAGAGCGAGAGAAAGAGAAUCCUGUUUCAGUACAGAUAACCUUGGUAAGUAAAAGUGUCAGAAUGUUAAUACUCACUUGUUCUUUGAUGCACAAGUGUUACCAAGUCCACUGAUCACUGCAUGACAGACCAAUAGAUGGAGAGUUGAGGUGUUGGGACAAGGAAUAAUGACUUUAUUCAGAAAGCCAGCAGACUAAGAGGAUGGAAGACUAGUGUCCCAAAGAACCAUCUUACCCAAGUUAGAAUUCAGGCUUCUUUUAUACUAAAAAGGGAGGGGGCGUGGCUAUUGUUGCAAAAUGUUUUGGUGCAGGACUCUUUUAUUCUUCUAGCUCUCUGCAUAGGUCUGGGC
rnacentral:lncRNA from 1 species